rnacentral:lncRNA from 1 species
UGGGGAUUUUUCAUAUUUAGUCUGAUUUGAGUACUCAGCCUAAUGAUUUUGCCUAUGUUUAAGAACAAAUCGCGUGCACAUCAUCUUAGAACACAGCAGACUAAAACAACUGUGUGGUAUUAUUAUUUAGACACUAGAAUUGUCGCAGUUCAUACAUACAAAUUAGCAAACAGAUCUUUUUCUAAAUUUACAAAGAAAUAUAACAAUAGACUUUUUAUAUG